rnacentral:rRNA from 1 species
AGAGUUUGAUCCUGGCUCAGAACGAACGCUGGCGGCGUGCCUAACACAUGCAAGUCGAGCGCGAAAGUCCCUUCGGGGGCGAGUAGAGCGGCGGACGGGUGAGUAAUACAUGGAUAAUCUGCCCUCGAGAUCGGGAUAACCCUGCGAAAGUGGGGCUAAUACCGGAUAAGACCACACAACACAAGUUGUGUGGUAAAAGGUGGCUUGAAUUUAUUCUGGCUAUCACUUGAGGAUGAGUCCAUGGCCUAUCAGCUAGUUGGUGAGGUAAUGGCCCACCAAGGCUAUGACGGGUAGCUGGUCUGAGAGGACAACCAGCCACACUGGGACUGAGACACGGCCCAGACUCCUACGGGAGGCAGCAGUGGGGAAUAUUGGGCAAUGGGCGAAAGCCUGACCCAGCGACGCCGCGUGGGUGAUGAAGGCCCUCGGGUUGUAAAGCCCUUUCGUGCGGAAAGAAUUAUCCCGCAGUUAAUAUCUACGGGAUUUGACGGUACCGCAGGAAGAAG